rnacentral:lncRNA from 1 species
AUGUGUCCCCUGCUUCAUGCAGGGCCAAACGUUCCUGCUGCCUCCUUCGUUUCUGGGCCUGAAGACCAAACCCUGGAAAAACCCUACAUAAAACAACGGAUAUUCGUCAGCCUGGUCUUUGCAUAUGUGCUAGCCCACCUAGAUACAGGAGUGGACACAGGGGUAUCAGCUCCACACACCUUGUUCUCCCCCCAGUUUCACCAGGCAAGCAUUUUUUUUUUACCAUCUUCCUCUGUCUACAGAUCAGGCUGUCUGUGGAUGACAACAUGUAGACCUGCAGGAAUUGAAUUUUUCAGGUGCUUUCCCUAAAAUAUGAUCUUUGCAUAAUCACAGGUUAAGCAAGUGGGAAUGCUGCUGGCUGGCCAGGAAAUCAGGACCAGCGACGAGGAGAUAAAAAACAACGUAUGGGAGAAGGGUUAUGUCUAUCCCUCAGAGGAAAUGAAGAAUUAGGAGGCAAAGUAUGGGUAAUAAUGGAGAUAAGUGGAAUGCAAUUAAAAAACAAAAAACAACCCCUUACCCCCCAACACACAUUCAAGCUUUUACUGUUGCUGUCACAACAAAAUAAGGUCAUAGGGAUAUAGCCAACAGUACAACAUAUUCUGUGUCUCGGUAUAGCAGGCCAUCCCAAUUUUUCUAGCCCAGCAGGUGCUAACACUACAUUUAGAAAUGUGUAUUGCAAACCUGCAGCACGGAUAGACCCAUCGUCUACCAUCUAGCCAAUGUCAAGGUCUGUUCUCAGACUCAGAGUGGUUCUAGCUAGGCCAAGACCAAGAUUAAAAUCCCUCCCCUUCCCCCCCCGCCCCCCAAAACUCCAAAACUGUGCGGCUGUAUCCAAAGUACUUUGGCAAGCAUCCAUGUUAUCUCCUUAGAUAUGCCCGAGAAUUGAUCGGGACAUUGCCAGCUGGCAAGAAUUAAACAUAAUGUGAAGAACUGAACGUUGCGGAUGAUUGAGGUCCAGUGUCCAAAGUCUCUAGCACUGUUUAGCUGAUGAGUGCAGACACAGCCCAUGAGUUCAGAUGUCCUGUGCUGCAGCGUUAAGUAGGGCUGCCGACAGUCAGGGAACUGUAAAUCCCUAUACCAGGGCCCAACUCUAGAGCUCAGACAGGAGGUGGCAGCUGGCUUUAGCCUGUGCUUGGUGCACGACCGCCAGACCUCAGUUCUUUACUCUCCCUGUUUGUGUUUCUAGAUUAACAAGGCCAGAAAGCUCCCCGACUUCACUCCCCAAAUCCUCCCACAACACAAAAAAAAAUCAUAUUAGUGUCAGCUCGGUUUGAGCUUGCUGAAUUUG